AUUGAACGCUGGCGGCAGGCCUAACACAUGCAAGUCGAGCGGUAGCACAGAGAGCUUGCUCUCGGGUGACGAGCGGCGGACGGGUGAGUAAUGUCUGGGAAACUGCCUGAUGGAGGGGGAUAACUACUGGAAACGGUAGCUAAUACCGCAUAACGUCGCAAGACCAAAGUGGGGGACCUUCGGGCCUUAUGCCAUCAGAUGUGCCCAGAUGGGAUUAGCUGGUAGGUGGGGUAACGGCUCACCUAGGCGACGAUCCCUAGCUGGUCUGAGAGGAUGACCAGCCACACUGGAACUGAGACACGGUCCAGACUCCUACGGGAGGCAGCAGUGGGGAAUAUUGCACAAUGGGCGCAAGCCUGAUGCAGCCAUGCCGCGUGUGUGAAGAAGGCCUUCGGGUUGUAAAGCACUUUCAGCGGGGGGGAAGGCAUUAAGGUUAAUAACCUUAGUGAUUGACGUUACCCGCAGAAGAAGCACCGGCUAACUCCGUGCCAGCCGCCGCGGUAACAC
rnacentral:rRNA from 1 species